UUAUUUUUGUACAAUAAAAUACGGUAUAACUACAAUUUUGCAAAGACUCAAUCAGUUUUCCAAGCAAGUCAAUACAUGCAAUAACAAAAAAAAUUUGGGACAAGACAAUGUUUAAAAAACGUGACCAAAGAAAAGAAAAGAAAAUGUACUUGUAAUCGACACUGGAGAAAAAUGGACUCUCCAGAAGAAAUUGUCACAUGGAAAUGUCUUGGGCAGAUUAAAAAGAAGAAGUAACUGUGCCAGGAAGCAGUUCCAGUCAUUUGCAGCAACAGGACUGUGAUGAAUAGAACUUUAAUAUGAAUUGAAUCAAAAUAUAGAAUUUAACAAACUUGUGUCAGAUGAUAUACUCUUAUGAUGCUAUUGAAGGACAUCAAUGAUGAGAAAGAAGUAAAGGAAAAGACAAUAAAUGACAGCAUAUCAAA